GACGAACGCUGGCGGCGUGCCUAAUACAUGCAAGUAGAACGCAGUUGCGAACGGGUGAGUAACGCGUAGGUAACUGCCUCAUAGCGGGGGAUAACUAUUGGAAACGAUAGCUAAUACCGCAUACUGUGAGAUGGACCUGCGUUGUAUUAGCUAGUUGGUGAGGUAAAGGCUCACCAAGGCGACGAUACAUAGCCGACCUGAGAGGGUGAUCGGCCACACUGGAACUGAGACACGGUCCAGACUCCUACGGGAGGCAGCAGUGGGGAAUAUUGCACAAUGGGCGCAAGCCUGAUGCAGCCAUGCCGCGUGUGUGAAGAAGGCCUUCGGGUUGUAAAGCACUUUCAGCGAGGAGCGUUACUCGCAGAAGAAGCACCGGCUAACUCCGUGCCAGCAGCCGCGGUAAUUC
rnacentral:rRNA from 1 species